GCUCCAAUGGCGCAAUGGUAGCGCGCAAGACUUCUACGAAUGUACUAACUAUAGUCACGUGUUAUCUUGAGGUUGAGGGUUCGAGCCCCUCUUGGAGUG
rfam:Pseudogymnoascus pannorum VKM F-4516 (FW-969) contig_1495, whole genome shotgun sequence.